GACGAACGCUGGCGGCGUGCUUAACACAUGCAAGUCGAACGGAAAGGCCCUGCUUUUGUGGGGUGCUCGAGUGGCGAACGGGUGAGUAACACGUGAGUAACCUGCCCUUGACUUUGGGAUAACUUCAGGAAACUGGGGCUAAUACCGGAUAGGAGCUCCUGCUGCAUGGUGGGGGUUGGAAAGUUUCGGCGGUUGGGGAUGGACUCGCGGCUUAUCAGCUUGUUGGUGGGGUAGUGGCUUACCAAGGCUUUGACGGGUAGCCGGCCUGAGAGGGUGACCGGCCACAUUGGGACUGAGAUACGGCCCAGACUCCUACGGGAGGCAGCAGUGGGGAAUAUUGCACAAUGGGCGGAAGCCUGAUGCAACAACGCCGCGUGCGGGAUGACGGCCUUCGGGUUGUAAACCGCUUUCGCCUGUGACGAAGCGUGAGUGACGGUAAUGGGUAAAGAAGCACCGGCUAACUACGUGCCAGCAGCCGCGGUGAUACGUAGGGUGCGAGCGUUGUCCGGAUUUAUUGGGCGUAAAGGGCUCGUAGGUGGUUGAUCGCGUCGGAAGUGUAAUCUUGGGGCUUAACCCUGAGCGUGCUUUCGAUACGGGUUGACUUGAGGAAGGUAGGGGAGAAUGGAAUUCCUGGUGGAGCGGGUGGAAUGCGCAGAUAUCAGGAGGAACACCAGUGGCGAAGGCGGUUCUCUGGGCCUUUCCUGACGCUGAGGAGCGAAAGCGUGGGGAGCGAACAGGCUUAGAUACCCUGGUAGUCCACGCUGUAAACGGUGGGUACUAGGUGUGGGGUCCAUUCCACGGGUUCCGUGCCGUAGCUAACGCUUUAAGUACCCCGCCUGGGGAGUACGGCCGCAAGGCUAAAACUCAAAGGAAUUGACGGGGCCCCGCACAAGCGGCGGAGCAUGCGGAUUAAUUCGAUGCAACGCGUAGAACCUUACCUGGGUUUGACAUGGAUCGGGAGUGCCCAGAGAUGGGUGUGCCUCUUUUGGGGUCGGUUCACAGGUGGUGCAUGCCUGUCGUCAGCUCGUGUCGUGAGAUGUUGGGUUAAGUCCCGCAACGAGCGCAACCCUUGUUCACUGUUGCCAGCACGUUAUGGUGGGGACUCAGUGGAGACCGCCGGGGUCAACUCGGAGGAAGGUGGGGAUGACGCCAAGUCCUCAUGCCCCUUAUGUCCAGGGCUUCACGCAUGCUACAAUGGCUGGUACAGAGAGUGGCGAGCCUGUGAGGGUGAGCGAAUCUCGGAAAGCCGGUCUCAGUUCGGAUUGGGGUCUGCAACCCGACCUCAUGAAGUCGGAGUCGCUAGUAAUCGCAGAUCAGCAACGCUGCGGUGAAUACGUUCCCGGGGC
rnacentral:rRNA from 1 species